rnacentral:rRNA from 1 species
UACGGGGGGAGCAAGCGUUGUUCGGAUUUACUGGGCGUAAAGGGCGCGUAGGCGGUCAGCACAAGUCAGUUGUGAAAUCUCCGGGCUUAACUCGGAAAGGUCAACUGAUACUGUGCGACUAGAGUGCAGAAGGGGCAACUGGAAUUCUCGGUGUAGCGGUGAAAUGCGUAGAUAUCGAGAGGAACACCUGCGGCGAAGGCGGUUGCCUGGGGCUGUGCUGACGCUGGAUGCGCGAAAGCGUGGGGAGCGAUCCGG